CCUUCUCUGUGCUCCUUUAUCUGAAGUUUAAUGAUACCGCAUUUACCAAACAAGAAUAGCUUCCAAUCAACGAAGGCAGACACUAGACCACCGACCCUGAGCCAAAAGGUUGGACCAUAUGACAUCCCACCAGCAAUAGGAGAGCUCCAGUUCUUCCCCAUCCUUGCCAACACUAGGUGAUUCUGGUGAGUACUUUCUGAAGUUAAGGAACAGCCACAGAAGAGUAAAACACGUCCAGGGAGAGGACCCAGCACCCAGCAGUGGAGGGGGAAGGGAAGAUGCUGAAAGGGGAG